UAAGACAGUUGGGCGGUCGCUGUGAGUUGCAUUUUUGCUCAUAGAGGAAAGUCCGAACACCAUUGAGCAGGAUGGUCGAUAACGUCGACCUGUUGUGAGGCAGGGAAAGUGCCACAGAGAUUAUACCGCAUGGGCUUUUAGCCUGUGUAAGGGUGAAAAGGCGAGGUAAGAGCUCACCGCAUCUAUGGCGACAUAGAUGGCAUGGUAAACCCCAUCCGGUGCAAGGCAAAUAAGUGGCCACGGGCGCUCAACCCUUAUGGCUACGGGUAUGCUGCAUAGAGAAAUGAUCGUCGUCUCCUUUGGGAGAUACAGAAUUCGGCUUAUAGACUGUCUUAAACA
rnacentral:RNase_P_RNA from 1 species